rnacentral:rRNA from 1 species
UCAGCCGCCGCGGUAAAACCAGCACCUCGAGUGGUCAGGAGGUUUACUGGGCCUAAAGCAUCCGUAGCCGGUUGUUUAAGUUUUCGGUUAAAUCUAUGCGCUUAACGUAUAGGCUGCCGAAAAUACUGGACAGCUAGGGAGUGGGAGAGGUACACGGUACUCAAUUGGAAGGGGUAAAAUCCUUUGAUCUGUUGAUGACCACCUGUGGCGAAGGCGGUGUACCAGAACACGUUCGACGGUGAGGGAUGAAAGCUGGGGGAGCAAACCGGAUUAGAUACCCGGGUAGUCCCAGCUGUAAACGAUGCAAACUCGGUGAUGCAUUGGCUUGUGGCCAAUGCAGUGCCGCAGGGAAGCCGUUAAGUUUGCCGCCUGGGAAGUACGUACGCAAGUAUGAAACUUAAAGGAAUUGGCGGGGGAGCACA